rnacentral:rRNA from 1 species
GAUGAACGCUGGCGGCGUGCCUAAUACAUGCAAGUCGAGCGGACGGACGAGAAGCUUGCUUUUCUGAUGUUAGCGGCGGACGGGUGAGUAACACGUGGAUACCCUACCUAUAAGACUGGUAUAACUUCGGGAAACCGGAGCUAAUACCGGAUAAUAUUUUGAACCGCAUGGUUCAUAAGUGAAAGACGGUCUUGCUGUCACUUAUAGAUGGAUCCGCGCUGCAUUAGCUAGUUGGUAAGGUAACGGCCUACCACGGCAACGAUGCGUAACCGACCUGUGAGGCGGAUCGGCCACACUGGAACUGGAACACGGUCAUGAGUCCUACGGGAGGCAGCAGUAGGCAACCUUACGCAAUGGGCGAAAGCCUGACGGAGUAACGCCGCGUGAGUGAUGAAGGUCUUCGGAUCGUAAAACUCGGUUACUAGGGAAGAACAUAUUUGUCAGGAAAUGUGCACAGCUUGACGGUAAUUAAUCAGAAAGCCACGGCUAACUACGUG